UGGGGAAUAUUGCACAAUGGGCGCAAGCCUGAUGCAGCCAUGCCGCGUGUAUGAAGAAGGCCUUCGGGUUGUAAAGUACUUUCAGCGGGGAGGAAGGUGUUGAGGCUAAUAACCUCAGCAAUUGACGUUACCCGCAGAAGAAGCACCGGCUAACUCCGUGCCAGCAGCCGCGGUAAUACGGAGGGUGCAAGCGUUAAUAGGAAUUACUGGGCGUAAAGCGCACGCAGGCGGUCUGUCAAGUCGGAUGUGAAAUCCCCGGGCUCAACCUGGGAACUGCAUUCGAAACUGGCAGGCUAGAGUCUUGUAGAGGGGGGUAGAAUUCCAGGUGUAGCGGUGAAAUGCGUAGAGAUCUGGAGGAAUACCGGUGGCGAAGGCGGCCCCCUGGACAAAGACUGACGCUCAGGUGCGAAAGCGUGGGGAGCAAACA
rnacentral:rRNA from 1 species